GAAGAAAGUGCUUUCCUAGAAGAACCAUGCUCACUUAGCACAGUAGCAGCACCAACACUCAAUUCUUUGAUUUUCUUUCUAAUUUCAAAGCUUUCAUCUCCUUUCAUGAUUCUUUUUAUAGCUUUGGCAACUUCCUCUUGUUUUAUAAUCCCAGUUUCAUCAUCAACCUUUGGCCUCACUGCCACUUUGAGUACAUCAGUGAGUAAUUUUGCAUUCAUCCUUUGCUCUGCAAACAAUGGCCAUGCAAUCAACGGCACGCCGUUAACCACACUCUCCAAAGUUGAACUCCAACCACAAUGACUUAAAAACCCACCAAUUGAUCCAUGACCAAGAAUCUCAACUUGUGGUGCCCAUGAUGCAACUACUAGUCCAUUUUCUUUUGUUCUUUCCAAAAAACCAUUUGGUAAAUACUCUAAUGGAUCAUUGUUUUGUCCACUAAAAUAGGCAGAACUAGAAUUUUUACUUGGAGCUCUCACAACCCACAAGAAUUUGUGACCACUCAAUUCUAGACCAAAAGCUAACUCGUUGAGUUGAUCUUGAGAGAGUGUUCCACCACUUCCAAAAGAGACAAAAAGAACAGAACUUGGUUGUUGAUUUUCCAACCACCUUAAACACAUUGACAUGUUUGCUUCAUUAUUUGACUCAUUCCUAAUCAUAGGUCCAACCGGAUAAACACUAGGUUUCUCUCUAUCUUGAAGAACCCUUAUGACUUCCGGUUCCAAAUCAGUGAAAGUAUUCAUAAUAACACCAUCAAACAAUGAUAAUUUUUGACACACAUCAAGAAUUGAUUUGUAGGCAUCACUUGAUCUUUCACAGAUAAACGGGUCGGGAAGCUCUUUGAUAUGGAGAGGAAUAGAAAAACCAGGAAUAUUUACUGUUUCAUAACUUGAUCCUAAGAACUGAGUUGAUGCAGCUUCAUCAAGGUUUGGAAUAGUGAGAAAUAAAGAGAAUAAAACAGCUCCUGAGGAAAAGAAAAGGUAUGAUAAAAGGUUGAAAUGUUUCGCAACAUCAUGUGCAUCGGUUGAAAACAUGCUGAAAACUAAAGCAACUAGGCGAGUUUUUGAAAGGAGUGAUUUUACUUCUUCAUAAAGAAAUGGAAUAGAGUGUUUCACUAUGAGUUUCAUCUGUGUUGCAGGAUCAAGAUUAUGUGGAAGGUCUUCAAUGUUGACUUGGGGAAGAACAAUGAAGUUCAUGUUUGGUGGAAGAGUGUUCAAGAUGGAUUGCAUGGAAGGAGUUAGUGGACCAAGUGUGGGAAUGAGGAAUGUGAUAUGGUAUUCAUUGUGAUUUUGGAGUAAUAGUUUAGCAAACUCAACUAGUGGAAUCAAAUGGCUCAAUCCAGGUGAAGGAACCAUAGCAAUGCAUGUCUUUUUCUCCAUGCAUGUAAUUGAAUUUGACAUGGAUGAUGAAAAACAAAGUAUUUUUGUAAGAUGGAUAUCUCCUAA
rnacentral:lncRNA from 1 species